AGCAGCCGCGGUAAUUCCAGCUCCAAUAGCGUAUAUUAAAGUUGUUGCAGUUAAAAAGCUCGUAGUUGAAUUUCGGGAUUAACGUGACGGUCGUGCCUUAAGGGGUAUGAACUGUUACAGUUAAUUUCUCACCUUCUGGAGAAAUAUGAUGUCCUUAAUUGGGUGUCAUAUGGAACCAGGACUUUUACCUUGAAAAAAUUAGAGUGUUUAAAGCAAGCUUAUUGCUCGAAUACAUUAGCAUGGAAUAAUAAAAUAGGACGGCAUGAUUCUAUUUUGUUGGUUUCUAGGAUCACCGUAAUGAUUAAUAGGGAUAGUUGGGGGCAUUAGUAUUCAAUUGUCAGAGGUGAAAUUCUUGGAUUUAUUGAAGACUAACUACUGCGAAAGCAUUUGCCAAGGAUGUUUUCAUUAAUCAAAGACGAAAGUUAGGGGAUCGAAGACGAUCAGAUACCGUCGUAGUCUUAACCAUAAACUAUGCCGACUAGGAAUCAGACGAUGUUAAUUUUUAAUUGACUCGUUUGGC
rnacentral:rRNA from 1 species